rnacentral:rRNA from 1 species
GACGAACGCUGGCGGCGCGCUUAACACAUGCAAGUCGAACGGAAAGGCCUGCUUUCCCUUGUGGAUUGCGGGUACUCGAGUGGCGAACGGGUGAGUAACACGUGAGUGAUCUGCCCCCAACUUGGGUAUAAGCCUGGGAAACUGGGUCUAAUUCCCGAUAGGACUGCAGGGUGGUGCCUGUGGUGGAAAACGAUUUUCUAGUGGUUGGGGAUGAGCUCGCGGCCUAUCAGCUUGUUGGUGGGGUAAUGGCCUACCAAGGCGGCGACGGGUAGCCGGCCUGAGAGGGUGGACGGCCACAUUGGGCAUGGGCUACGGCCCAGACUCCUACGGGAGGCAGCAGUGGGGAUAUUGCACAAUGGGCGGAAGCCUGAUGCAGCGACGCCGCGUGGGGGAUGACGGCCUUCGGGUUGUAAACUCCUUUCGACCGCGAGGAAGCCACCUGGUUGGAAGGGUGGUGACGGUAGUGGUAGAAGAAGCACCGGCUAACUACGUG